ACUGAGAGAGCCUCUCCAGGGAGCCGGGCACGCAGUCCAGAAGGCUGCAGUAUUUCCUCCAAGGGGGGAAAAAGAAGAUGAAAAAGAAGAAGAAAAAGAAAGAAAGAGGCUGCUGCCACCCCUCUGCUAGCUAUCUGGAAUAGCACAGUGAGCAGCGUCUGCAGCCGAGCCGCGGGUGGAACCGAACCCCAGCUUCUCUGUGAAGUGCCUGGGUGGGGCAUGGCCCAGCCUCCCUGCCCUGCUCCGACCAGGGCUCCCAAGCUCCCAAGCUGCUUCUCCUCUUCAAUCGCCAAGUUCCCAGAGUAUUGCACACAAAAAAAUUGAACAAAAACUCAUAAUUACUUGUCAGAGUUUUUCCCCCCACCAGUAAUAAUAUUCCGACACGUCGAUCAGCUGCUACAUUAUAAUACAGAUUGUUUCAGAGAAGAUAGAUCUCCUUAAAGGGUUUCUCUGCAAGGCGGCGGUGAGGCUAAAAUUAGCUGUGCCAGCUGUGUUUUGCUGGGAGUGCUCACGCAUGCCCGGAGCGUGGGCAGCCAGCCUCUGUGCCUCUCCACUCCCCCAAGUCUGCCGAACACUCCAGCCGUCCUUUCAGAUAAAAGACUCCAGGUACAAAGGCAGUUUCCUCACAUGGAGGGAGAAUUGAAACUGCAAUACACAGGAUGCCACCUCUGCUUUAAGUCCCGCCUGCCACUCAUGGGGUAACAACCUAGGCUCCUGUGCUCCUUAGCUCCAGGAAGCUCAGUUCUGAAGUCUGGGUACCAGCAGAAAGACAAGGACACGGAGACAUCACAUUGGGUUUUAUGUCGAUUCUCUCUCUCUCUCUCUCUCUCUCUCUCUGUGUGUGUGUGUGUGUGUGUGUGUGUGUGUGUUUCUCUUUUUUAAAAGACAGGGUCUCAGAUACCCCAAGCUGCUCUUAAAACUUGCUGUGAAACGGAAUGAUUUUGGCUUCUGAUUCUCCUGCCUUCCAUCGCCCAGCACUGGUAUUGAAGGCAUAAAUUAAUGAAUGAACCAGGUUCCUGUGGGCACUGGCUGUGGAACCUAGGACCCUGCCCACAAUGGGCAAGCACUCUACCAACACAGCUAUCUCUUGAUGACAAAAAUCAGAACUUGGGUUGGAAAGUGGGUAUGGGACACCUGUGAUGGAAACAUAUCAAGACAGCUUCACUCAUGGACCUCAAUUAUUCCAUCCAUAAAAUGGAGAAGGACAGCAACUGAAAUCAGGCACCAAUCUCAAAGUCUUCUGGCCACAUCUCCCUCUCUAGAGAACUUGUCAAGCAUCUGGGAAUCUCGUUGUUCCUUCCUUUCUGCUUGGUAUCAGACUGUAAAUUCUACUCUUCACACUUCAUGGUCCAGCUCUGAGUGCCACUGAGCAGAGGUCAUGUUGGUGAUCGCCAAGCUCACACCAGGCAUCCUCUGCCAGCAUGAACAUGCCCCCCUGAAGCAGUCUUCCUGAAACCCUCACUUCCCAAGGUAUAGUUGGUUUUCCCCAAGUUGGUUUCUCCCACGACCUUCUAAACUCAGAACAGCAGGCCAUAGCCUCCUCUGUAGCCUUAAGAACUAGCAAGGCCAGACACAAAGCAUGUGUUCUGACAUGCUUGGAGAACAAAAUAUCCUGGACAUAAUAAACAAUUUGUCCCUC
ensembl:processed_transcript Gm17396 predicted gene, 17396